rnacentral:rRNA from 1 species
UGAAUACGAGACGCUACGGCGUCGAAGCAGUCUAUGUCAUACUUCCAAGAAAAGCUCGCAAUGUCAUAAACAAAUAAUGCCUGUACCAUAACCGACACAGGUGGGUAGGUAGAGUAUACUAAGGGGCGCGAGAUAACUCUCUCUAAGGAACUCGGCAAAAUGACUCCGUAACUUCGGGAGAAGGAGUGCCUUAUUUAUAAGGUUGCAAUAACAAGAUCCAAGCAACUGUUUAUCAAAAACACAGGUCUCCGCUAAGUCGUAAGACGAUGUAUGGGGGCUGACGCCUGCCCAGUGCCAGAAGGUUAAAGAAGUUGGUUAGUGUAUGCGAAGCUGAUGACUGAAGCCCUGGUGAACGGCGGCCGUAACAAUAACGGUCCUAAGGUAGCGAAAUUCCUUGUCGGGUAAGUUCCGACCCGCACGAAAGGCGUAAUGAUUUGGAUACUGUCUCGGAGAGAGGCUCGGUGAAAUAGACUUGUCUGUGAAGAUGCGGACUACCUGCACCAGGACAGAAAGACCCUAUGAAGCUUUACUGUAACUUGAAAUUGGAAUUGGACUUUGCUUGCGCAGUAUAGGUGGGAAGCGUUGAAGAUAUUCUUGCGGGAGUAUUGGAGCUAUCAGUGAGAUACCACUCUUGUAAUGUUAGAUUUCUAACUUUGAACCAUAAUCUGGUCAAAGAACAGUUUCAGGUGGGCAGUUUGACUGGGGCGGUCGCCUCCCAAAUGGUAACGGAGGCGUACAAAGGUUUCCUCUGAACGGAUAGAAAUCGUAUCUAGAGUGUAAAGGCAUAAGGAAGCUUGACUGUGAGACCUACAAGUCGAGCAGGGACGAAAGUCGGUCUUAGUGAUCUGACGGUACUGAGUGGAAAGGCCGUCACUCAACGGAUAAAAGUUACUCUAAGGAUAACAGGCUGAUCUCCCCCAAGAGUUCACAUCGACGGGGAGGUUUGGCACCUCGAUGUCGGCUCAUCGCAUCCUGGGGCGGUAGUACGUCCCAAGGGUUGGGCUGUUCGCCCAUGAAAGCGGUACGCGAGCUGGGUUCAGAACGUCGUGAGACAGUUCGGUCCAUAUCCGGUGUAGGCGUUAGAAUAUUGAGAGGAGCCUUCUUUAGUACGAGAGGACCGAGAAGGACACACCGCUGGUGUACCAGUUAUCGUGCCAACGGUAAACGCUGGGUAGCUAUGUGUGGAGUGGAUAACCGCUGAAAGCAUCUAAGUGGGAAGCCCACCUCAAGAUGAGUAUUCCC